UACGUAGGUGGCAAGCGUUGUCCGGAAUUAUUGGGCGUAAAGCGCGCGCAGGCGGCCUCUUAAGUCUGAUGUGAAAGCCCACGGCUCAACCGUGGAGGGUCAUUGGAAACUGGGGGACUUGAGUGCAGGAGAGAAGAGUGGAAUUCCACGUGUAGCGGUGAAAUGCGUAGAGAUGUGGAGGAACACCAGUGGCGAAGGCGACUCUUUGGCCUGUAACUGACGCUGAGGCGCGAAAGCGUGGGGAGCAAACAGG
rnacentral:rRNA from 1 species